rnacentral:rRNA from 1 species
GGAAGGUGUACUUGGAAAA